rnacentral:rRNA from 1 species
UACGGAGGGUGCAAGCGUUGUCCGGAUUUAUUGGGUUUAAAGGGUGCGUAGGCGGUUUUUUAAGUCAGGGGUGAAAGUCUGCGGCUCAACCGUAGGAUUGCCUUUGAUACUGAGAAACUUGAGUACAGUUGAGGUAGGCGGAAUUGACAGUGUAGCGGUGAAAUGCUUAGAUAUUGUCAAGAACACCGAUUGCGAAGGCAGCUUACUAAGCUGAAACUGACGCUGAGGCACGAAAGUGUGGGGAUCAAACAGG